rnacentral:pre_miRNA from 1 species
GGCUCAAAUUUGAAGUAAAGUACGUUAGUGGGAUUGUCCGACCCUAUCAAAGUACUCUACUUCAAGUUUGUGCCC